AUAUCAAGACUAUCUUUCGGCACCAGAAAGAAAAAGGAAAGAAGAAAAAUCGCAUCUUGGACGAGAGAGAGACAGAGAGAAGGAGCAUAAGCAGAAUCGAAAGGAAGGAAGAAUAAAAGAUUUGAAGUUGAAGAAGAAUUCACCCAGAAACUCAGUGGUGACUCACCAUUGAAUUGAGUUGAAGCUGCGAAGUUGCGUCAGAGAAGGAGAAGAAGAAGAUGAAGACGACGACGACGAUAAUAAUGAAGGAGGAUGAGAAGGAAAAAGGAGGGGAAUAAAUCAAACAAAAGAAAAAGAAGACGACGUUGAAGAAGAACAAAAAAAGAAGAAGAUGAUGACGACGAUAAUGAAAGAGAAGAAAGAGAAGAAGUAGGAAGAAAAAGAAGAAGAAGAAGAAGCAUGCCUAUAUACAUAUGUCCAAAGAAGUGCAUUGUGACUUGGUUGAGUACCUGGUUUAAAAAAACUUGAGUGCCUAGCUUUAUUGUCUAAUUGAUAUGAUUAUGGGUUAUAUAUCUUACAAAAAUAUAUUCUGGUUAUAACCCUAAAAUUCAUUCUAGCAUAUUCUUUUCACAAUCAAUUAACACUUUAGUAUUUUUCUUUUUUUCCCAUGAUUAUUUGUAGAGUUAUGGAUAUUUUGUUAUCAAAUAACUAAAAAAAAAAUAAUUUAAAACCCGCAGUGAUUCAAUCCACGUUUAAGAAGGAAUAACACUGUUAACAUCGUAUUUAAGAGGUAACCAGCAAAGAUAACUAGAAAAUGGUUUGUUAAUAAUUUGCAACUUUAACGGUGUAUAUACUUUGUAGAGGCAAAUACUAAAUUGGUACUCGAAAGAUUUUGGCGCUGACAAAAUAGUACCUGACUUUUGCUAUUGACAAAAUAGCUCCUAAACUUCUUUGCUAUGGCGGAAGGGGACGCAAUGACUAGGUGCUACCAUGACGGAGGGAACGCGGAAGAGACGCACCGUGAAAAAGAAGUGGCAAACACGAGAAUAUGAUGAGAUACUACCAUGGUGGAAGGGGACGCAACGGCGUGCUGAAGAAGCAUCGAACACGAAGAACACGGCGAGGUGCAGCGACGUGUCAUGGCGGUCUUCUUUAGCUGCCAUGGCAGAAGGAGACGUAGCAACGAACAUGAAGAAGGUCGCUGGAAACACCACCGGAGCUCUCUACCAUCAUCGGGAGCCCUCUUUCAACAGCCACAUCAGCGUUUUCCAUUCGCUGUGACAUCACCCUUUCAUGAUUGGGUGAUUUUGUCAAAUUUUAAAAUCUUUCAUAAAUUAUUGUCAAUAACAAAAAUCAGGUUCAUUUUGUCCACACCAAAAUCUUUCGAAUGCCAAUUUAGUAUUUACUUCUAUUUUGUAAUAGAAUUUAAUUUUCAUAGACAGUUGGUGUAAAUAAAUUUUACUCAUAAUAAAACUUUAAUAUCCUGGGUAUGUAGAGAAGUUUCUUCUUCUUCCACCACCCAAAAUAGUUUAGUGCAUCUUUUGCUAUCACAAGAGAAAACAGAUAAAUAUCCCGCACGUAGUCAAUUUGUAUCAUCGAACAUACUCGGACGAAUUCAUUUUCCAAACACACAAAGAUUAUCAGCAUCAUUGAUAAACAAAUUUUAUUUGCCAGUAGUUUCCCCCUCGCUAAUCUAAUUGCAGCAUGUAUGAUUCUAUACUUGGCUAUCAUAUUUUAUUUUGGGGUAAUAAGCUUUUAUGUAUUUGCUAUGAAUGAUUAAUUCUAUGCAGCAAGAAAUAAUUUUGUUUCUCAAUAAGCUAUCGGUAUCUCCUAUUACUAUCAGAGCUAUGAUUAUAUAUAUAUAUAUAUGUAUAUAUGUACAGCGUAAACUAUUUCGAUCUAUAAUAAAAUACAAUAAUUGCUGGACAUUAUGCUAUGGCAGAGCAGUGAGAUCCGAGGGAAAAAAGCUGCCACCUCAAAUACCUCACCAGUCGGAAGAACUCAUUCCUUCAGCAAACAGGUCCUCACCAAGUCAACUUCUGAGAUGAUCCACCUCUUAAGCUGAAGGGGAACUGGGCUCAUAUAUAUCUCUCUCUUGUAUUGAAUGAAUGUAAGAAUGAGGAGGACGACUGUGAUACGAAUAACUUUGUGAAUAGAGGGUUUGGGGGAUGCAGUUUGAGAGAAGGGUUUUUGAUCGAUUAUGCUGAAUGUAGAGCAAAAACUCAGCUAUAGCGACGGGAACUGCUGCUUCCAAAGAUUGAAGAGACUGGAGUUGAUCCAGGCGUCACCUCUUUCAGUG